rnacentral:rRNA from 1 species
GGCGGCGUGCCUAAUACAUGCAAGUCGAACGAGAGUGCUUGCACUCUAGUGGCGAACGGGUGAGUAACACGUAGGUAACCUGCCUUACGAGUUGGGAUACCCUGGCGAAAGCUAGGCUAAUACCGAAUAAUUGGAUUGGAGGCAUCUCCGAUCUCUAAAAGGGGCCUUUAAAGCCUCGCUGAAUGAUGGACCUGCGGCGCAUUAGCUAGUUGGUGAGAUAACAGCCACCAAGGCGAGGAUGCGUAGCCGACCUGAGAGGGUGAACGGCCACACUGGAACUGAGACACGGUCCAGACUCCUACGGGAGGCAGCAGUAGGGAGUUUUCGGCAAUGGGGGCAACCCUGACCGAGCAACGCCGCGUGAAUGAAUGAAGGUCUUCGGAUUGUAAAGUUCUGUUAUAAGGGAAAAAUGAUAUGGUGAGGAAAUGCUCCAUAUUUGAUGGUACCUUAUUAGAAAGCCACGGCUAACUACGUGCCAGCCGCCGC